AUUGAACGCUAGCGGGAUGCCUUACACAUGCAAGUCGAACGGAGUGGCGAACGGGUGAGUAAUGUAUCGGAACGUGCCCAGUAGCGGGGGAUAACUACGCGCAAGCGUAGCUAAUACCGCAUACUUUUGGAGCGGCCGAUAUCGGAUUAGCUAGUUGGUGGGGUAACGGCUCACCAAGGCGACGAUCCGUAGCUGGUUUGAGAGGACGACCGGCCACACUGGGAAUGAGACACGGCCCAGAUUCCUACGAGAGGAAGCAGUGGGGAAUUUUGGACAAUGGGGGAAACCCUGAUCCAGCCAUGCCGCGUGUGCGAAGAAGGCUUUCGGGUUGUAAAGCACGUUUGGAAGGGAAGCGGUACCUGAAGAAUAAGCACCGGCUAACUACGUGCCAGCAGCCGCGGUAAUAC
rnacentral:rRNA from 1 species